AGCUGUAAUCGGCAAACCAAACCAAUUAGUUAAAAUUGUUCAAAUAAAGUUAAGAUAGUGUUAAAGUGAAUAAACAUGUGUUUAAAGGUCAUUCUUCCUUCAAAGUAUGGGGCAGCCAGCGAGUUCGAUGGUGGCAUUGGUGAUGUUGGUGGCAUUAGAGGCAUCCUUUAAGUCUCAAGAUGAUACAAGCCACAGCAAAACGAACUCUAUUGACUACAUGAGGAAGUCGUGUGAUACAUGAGAAUGACAUGAAAAUGUUUGGUGAGAAGUUGGGGUGAGGCCACAAUAAUCGUCCCGGGACAGUGGAGAAGGAGAGUGCCAGCGCAGAUCAUGAAGGACACAGAGGAGACUGCAGAUGCCAAAAUGUCCGCUGUUUUACCUCCAGCUCACAGGUGCAGCACAGUGCAAGCUCAGAG